UUUAGCCAGAUGCUGAGGACUUCUCACAGGACCCACUGUGGUUCUGGUACAUCCAUCAGAGACCUUCUUGGAUGCAGUCUUGGAAAAAUAAAAAGAGAGAAACUAUUGCGUCAUGCAGAGAAAGAGAAGAAAAAAUAUCCCAGUCUCCUAUUCCCCUGUGUGGUCAUUGAUCUGCCGGCUCUGAUUCAAGCUCUGUGUUAAAUCACCCCUGGGUCCAGAGCUAACCUGUUCUCCCUACCCCUUUGUUCAGACCACGCGAAAGAUAAUAGAAAGCGUUUUGUGCCGGGAGUGCCAUGGGGGCCCCAAUCUCGCCUCUAGCUUUUCUAAAAUCCCUUCUUUCCUCUAACUUUUUCUGCACCCCUUUCUUCAUCUCUGACUGUUUCUCUUUGGCUGUUUUUCUUCUUUUUCCCCUUAAAUCUCCGUUUUCGUCCUAUACCACAUUGUAAAGGGGUCUUUUGUACAACCCUGAUAGAAAGACCACUUUCAAACAAAGACAGCUCACAUUGUGGACCAGGGACAACAAAUAGGAUCUUUUGUGGGCAGGCUGAAGGUGCUCUUUCAUCACCAACAGACAGAGAGGGAGAAGAGAAAGGAAAGAGGGAGCGAGAGACAAGAAGGAAAGUGAAAGCAUGUUUUCUCUUGUGGCCUUGUAGCUGUCACAAUGGAUGAGGAGUAACCCAUUGCUAAGGUUCAAAAAUAUCUGGUCAUCUGGUCUACAAGCUUGUUUCCAGGUGAACUGGUGACAUUGGCUCUUUAGCUUUUCUCCACCAGGCCUUCUGGUGUGUGAACCUACAACCAACCAGCAACUCCCAGCUUGUCCAGGUCCGGUUCCACAUGGGAAAUUUCACCUGAAAAUUUCCACAAAAGUUCAGUGGUAUGAUUGACUGCAGGAAUAGCACCUUCAUACUUCUUUGAACAUACUUGAGCAAAGAGAACAUGGUAGUAAAUGCUUGAGAGUGUUUUCUUUGAUGCAUUUGGUAAAUCCCAAAGUUCCCAAGAUCAUGUAAAACAAGAUUGUCGUCUACUUUUGCCAGCACUUGAUGUUUAUA